CCCCUCCUCCCCGUCCUC
rnacentral:rRNA from 1 species